rnacentral:rRNA from 1 species
UGCAAUCGAGCGGACAGAUGGGAGCUUGCUCCCUGAUGUUAGCGGCGGACGGGUGAGUAACACGUGGGUAACCUGCCUGUAAGACUGGGAUAACUCCGGGAAACCGGGGCUAAUACCGGAUGGUUGUUUGAACCGCAUGGUUCAGACAUAAAAGGUGGCUUCGGCUACCACUUACAGAUGGACCCGCGGCGCAUUAGCUAGUUGGUGAGGUAACGGCUCACCAAGGCGACGAUGCGUAGCCGACCUGAGAGGGUGAUCGGCCACACUGGGACUGAGACACGGCCCAGACUCCUACGGGAGGCAGCAGUAGGGAAUCUUCCGCAAUGGACGAAAGUCUGACGGAGCAACGCCGCGUGAGUGAUGAAGGUUUUCGGAUCGUAAAGCUCUGUUGUUAGGGAAGAACAAGUGCCGUUCAAAUAGGGCGGCACCUUGACGGUACCUAACCAGAAAGCCACGGCUAACUACGUGCCAGCAGCCGCGGUAAUACGUAGGUGGCAAGCGUUGUCCGGAAUUAUUGGGCGUAAAGGGCUCGCAGGCGGUUUCUUAAGUCUGAUGUGAAAGCCCCCGGCUCAACCGGGGAGGGUCAUUGGAAACUGGGGAACUUGAGUGCAGAAGAGGAGAGUGGAAUUCCACGUGUAGCGGUGAAAUGCGUAGAGAUGUGGAGGAACACCAGUGGCGAAGGCGACUCUCUGGUCUGUAACUGACGCUGAGGAGCGAAAGCGUGGGGAGCGAACAGGAUUAGAUACCCUGGUAGUCCACGCCGUAACGAUGAGUGCUAAGUGUUAGGGGGUUUCCG